rnacentral:rRNA from 1 species
GUGAACCUGCGGAAGGAACCAUACCAGAGUUUUUAACUCCUUAAAACCAUGUGGACUUAACCACUGUUGCCUCCGGUGGAAGGUACCCCGAAGGGGUGCUGAAAGCCCGGCGGACAUCUAACUCUUGUUAUUUUUGUUAUUCUGAAUCAAACUAAGAAAUAAGUUAAAACUUUCAACAACGGAUCUCUUGGUUCUGGCAUCGAUGAAGAACGCAGCGAAAUGCGAUAAGUAAUGUGAAUUGCAGAAUUCAGUGAAUCAUCGAAUCUUUGAACGCACAUUGCGCCCAUUAGUAUUCUAGUGGGCAUGCCUGUUCGAGCGUCAUUUCAACCCUUAAGCCUAGCUUAGUGUUGGGAGACUGCCUAAUACGCAGCUCCUCAAAACCAGUGGCAGAGUUUUUACGUACUCUGAGCGCAGUAAUUCUAUUCUCGCUUUUGAACACGUCUAGACGAUAGCCAAAAACCGCUUGCCUCGGCAGCACUUUU